AUGUAUUCAAAGUAAGAUAAAUACUUUCAAAAGCAGCUCAAAACGGCAAGUAAAUGAAUGACUCAUAAAGCAACCUUUCCUUUGUAUAUCUAGGACAUUCUGAAGCAUAAAGUUUUAAACAACUCUUUUUAAAAAAACUAGGGUAAACAACUUGACUUUUGUGAAGUUUGUUUUUAUUUUUUUCAAACAAUGAUUGCGAUCAUUCUAGUGGCAAUCAUAUUGAAUAACAGCAACGUAUUUCCGCAGAGAAAUUCUUUAAAAUCAACCUGUGCGUAUUUCGACUUCAAGAUGUGCAUGAAAACAAAGAUAAUGGUAGAAAAAAAUGUUGUGUACGACAACUUAGCCAAGCUGGAAAGUGAAGUAACAAGAAAAAAACUCAAGAUUUCCGUUCCAAAAUGCGCCAAAGAAAAGUUUGGGAAGUGGAGAUGCUUCAUUGAAGAAAAACUUGUUUAACUAUUUUUUUUAGUUUAUAAAAUCUUAACUGUAUAUAAAAAAAAUAAUUUGCAAA